AUGAUCCCUGGCUUUUUACUUAUGUCUCUUUAAUAUGUUGGAUUUUGCCCACAGACUCUCAAUUUGUGAAAGUAGGUGGCUUCCAGGUAGCUUGUUUGCAUUCCAAGCAGAAGAAAUGGGGUAGGAAAUGACUGUGGUUCCUCUGCUGAGAAACAGGCUUCCUGAUGAAAAUGUUAGUAUUCCUCCCUAGCUUAUUUGCUGAAACUGAGUCAUAGCCUCCAUCUCCCUCUGAGCACGUACAUUAAUCUGAUGAAAUGGGUCCAGGACUGGUUGAGACAAGGUACCACUCAUUAGCUGGGGCCAGAGCCUAACUCUCAGCUCACAAAUGGAGCCCUGACCACUCAGAGAGAAGUGGAUCCUUAGAAGCCAAAGUCUGUAACUAGGAAGAAUCGUGUCCUCUGGGCCUCACCCUUCUAUGUAAGAGUGAUGAGCAAGUAUCUCAUUAUAUGUGACAACACCAGAUGCAGAGCCCAGGGUAAAGGACACCGUGGUGACUAUUGCAGGGUAUGCAGUCCACUAGAUCCAUCUUAUUCACUUCAUCCAGAAGACCGACAGCUACACAGAUGUGGAGAUGUUUGUUCAUCUCCCAAAUACAAGAGUCUGAGAAAUAAUGAUAUUCAUGUACAUCUUUCAGAAUCUGAGAAGCAUGCGAUAAACCAGGCCUGUAUCUAAAAUGAUCUAUGCUACCUUCAUACUUAAGUAAUUUUGAUAUACAGUUAUAUACUCAAUCAUUUUCCCUUCAGCAUUUUUCUAAGAACUGUUUUUGAGUACUUGUGAUUGCCUCCAAGGAAAUAAUCAAUCAAUAUCUUAGUUUGCAUCUCUAGAAAGCAG
rnacentral:lncRNA from 1 species